rnacentral:rRNA from 1 species
GACGAACGCUUGCGGCGUGCCUAAGAAAUGCAAGUCGAGCGGGGUGUAGCAAUACACCUAGCGGCGAACGGUCGCGUAACACGUAACCAACCUGCCUCAAAGACCGGGACAACAGAGGGAAACCUCUGCUAAUACCGGAUGUGGCCACCGGAUGGCAUCUUCUGGUGAUUAAACCGAGCAAUCGGCUUUGAGAGGGGGUUGCGGCCUAUCAGCUAGUUGGUGGGGUAACGGCCUACCAAGGCGACGACGGGUAGCUGGUCUGAGAGGACGAUCAGCCGGACUGGGACUGAGAUACGGCCCAGACUCCGUACGGGGGCAGCAAUUA